GAUGAACGCUAGCGAUAGGCUUUACACAUGCAAGUCGAGGGACCGGCGCAUGGGUGCGUAAUGCGUAUGCAAGUUGACUCACGGGGGAGAAUAACCCGGAGAAAUCCGUACUAAUGCACCAUACUGUGAGAUAGGCAUGGGUCUUAUUAGGUGGUUGGUGAGGGAACGGCCCACCAAGCAGACGAUAGGUAGGGGGGGGGAAAGGCCGACCACACUGGUUGGGACUGACACACGGGCCAAACUCGUACGGGAGGCAGGAGUGAGGAAUGAUGGUCAGUGGAAGAAUGUCUGAGCCAGCCAGGGUGCGUGAAGAAAGACUGCCUAAGGAUUGUACACUUGUUUAGCGAGAGAAUAGGUAUCUCGAGAAUAAGUAUCGGCUAACUCCGUGCCAGCAGCCGCGGUAAUUC
rnacentral:rRNA from 1 species